AUGGUCGGGCUCUCUCUCCGCCGCACGCGCUGCUCCCCGCAGCCGGCCAGGUGCUCUCCAGCCGGUGAGACCGCCGCAGCCUCUCUCCCCCCACCGGCCUGUCCACCGCCGACCCCACUCCACACAGCCGCCGGUGGAACCCUACUCCAUACUGCCGCCGCCUCCACUGGCAGGAGCUUUCUCCGCUGCCCCCUCCGUCUGCAGAUGGUCUUGCCGUUGCCGUCCAAACCCUACCGGCGGUUGCCCUUUUUGUCCGUGCCCAAGCUUAUCUAUCUCCUGGAGGUGCCGCCGGCAAGAAGAUCUUACAACUUUUUGGUGCACCACUAUUAGAGGUCUGACCUACAGAAGUCUCCACGGUUUUGUGCUAGCCGUGAAAUGUUUUUGGCCACAUAACUUAUUCAACUAGGUACCUCCGCUGCUCUGCGACCACGAGAAGCUCCAUGCCUUGGUGAGAUUCUCUCUUACCUAUGCCUACAAGGUGUUUGAUGAAAAUCCAAGCAAGCUGCAAAGAAUAUUCAUCUAUGAAAGGCAUGCAAGAGGGCAAGGAACCCUGAAGCUGGUGGUCCGGGAUCCUUUGUUUAAUGGUGACUGAAUCGUUGGAGAUGCAUUUUACCAUCAUUUUGUA
rnacentral:rRNA from 1 species